rnacentral:rRNA from 1 species
AACGAACGCUGGCGGUAUGCCUAACACAUGCAAGUCGAACGAGACCUUCGGGUCUAGUGGCGCACGGGUGCGUAACGCGUGGGAACCUGCCCUUAGGUUCGGAAUAAUUCCCCGAAAGGGGUGCUAAUACCGGAUAACGUCUUCGGACAAAAGAUUGAUCGCCUUUGGGUGGGCCCGUGUUGUAUUAGCCUGUCGGUAGUGUAUAAGCCUACCAAGGCGACGAUCCCUAGCUGGUAGGAGGGGAUGGUCAGCCACACUGCGGCUGAGACACGGCGCAGACACCUACGGAAGGCAGCAGGGGUGAAUAUGGGACAACGCGCGAAAGCAUGAUCCAGUAGGGCCGCGUGAGUGAUGAAGGCCGUAGGAAUGUAAAGCUCUUUUACCCGGGAUGAUAAGGACGGAACCGGAGGAAGAAGACCCGGCUAACUCCGG